GCUCAGGAUGAACGCUAGCUACAGGCUUAACACAUGCAAGUCGAGGGGUAGCAGGGUAGCAAUACCGCUGACGACCGGCGCACGGGUGAGUAACACGUAUCCAACCUUCCCAUAACUCGGGGAUAGCCUUUCGAAAGAAAGAUUAAUACCCGAUAGUACUUUUUUAGGGCAUCUUAGAAAAGUUAAAGAUUUAUUGGUUAUGGAUGGGGAUGCGUUCCAUUAGAUAGUUGGUGAGGUAACGGCUCACCAAGUCUUCGAUGGAUAGGGGUUCUGAGAGGAAGGUCCCCCACAUUGGUACUGAGACACGGACCAAACUCCUACGGGAGGCAGCAGUGAGGAAUAUUGGUCAAUGGGCGAGAGCCUGAACCAGCCAAGUA
rnacentral:rRNA from 1 species